rnacentral:rRNA from 1 species
GAUGAACGCUGGCGGCGUGCCUAAUGCAUGCAAGUCGAGCGAACGGACGAGAAGCUUGCUUCUCUGAUGUUAGCGGCGGACGGGUGAGUAACACGUGGAUAACCUACCUAUAAGACUGGGAUAACUUCGGGAAACCGGAGCUAAUACCGGAUAAUAUUUUGAACCGCAUGGUUCAAAAGUGAAAGACGGUCUUGCCGUCACUUAUAGAUGGAUCCGCGCUGCAUUAGCUAGUUGGUAAGGUAACGGCUUACCAAGGCAACGAUGCAUAGCCGACCUGAGAGGGUGAUCGGCCACACUGGAACUGAGACACGGUCCAGACUCCUACGGGAGGCAGCAGUAGGGAAUCUUCCGCAAUGGGCGAAAGCCUGACGGAGCAACGCCGCGUGAGUGAUGAAGGUCUUCGGAUCGUAAAACUCUGUUAUUAGGGAAGAACAUAUGUGUAAGUAACUGUGCACAUCUUGACGGUACCUAAUCAGAAAGCCACGGCUAACUACGUG